AUUGUGGGAGAGACUAAACGUUGUUUAGCACCGAAGGAGCAAACCCUAAAAAUUAGGGAACUAAUCUCUCAGGUAAAUGGACUACA
rnacentral:ncRNA from 1 species